rnacentral:lncRNA from 1 species
GGCCAAUAUAACUUUUUGUGCCAUACAUUUGGUCCUUAGUGCCCAGGUGUGGGCCCCGGCCUCAAGUGCUCAUACUCAGUCCACCACUGAGGGCUGCCCCUGCCGUCAUAUCGUGGGACCCCAUCCAUGUUCCUACCUUGGUCAAGACCUCAGUGCCUGAGGCAUGCAGGCUUCUGAUGAUCAGCCAUGUGAUGUCAACACCACUCGAAAAUGCACCUGGCAAGUCCAUGUGAAGCCCGCUGACCCCAGGAUCCAGUCCCUUGGUGCCCAAAGAGGCAGACCAAGGAAGUAGCGCCAGCCUUGGUCACAGUCUGCCCUGAGGACAGCCAGCUGGGGGAGAGGUGGUUUGUUUUACUUGGUCCAAUACGACAUCAAGAAAAUCCACAGUGAUUCGAAAGGUCACUAAGGCUGUCGCUCAGUGGUAGAGCGCUUGCCUAGCAUGUGUGAGGCACUGGGUUUGAUUCUCGGCACUGCAUAUAAAUAAGGGUCCAAAUAAGUAACACCAACUUUGUUUAAAAAAAAAAGGGGGGGGCUGGGGAUGUGGCUCAAGCGGUAGCGCGCUCGCCUGGCAUGCGUGCAGCUCGGGUUCGAGCCUCAGCACCACAUACAAACAAAGAUGUUGUGUCCGCCGAAAACUAAAAAAUAAAUAUUAAAAAUUCUCUCACUCUCUCUUUAAAAAAAAAAAAGAUGUCAUUAAAGGGUAAUCGAGGACCCUUUGUGGUCAAAUUUUGCUUUUUCUAAAUGAUUUGAAAUUCAAUUUAUAUGUCACUGAGGGGUAUUUGAAACUGUCAUCUCCUGAAUAUUAGGAGAAUCUGCCAGACCUUAUGACGUCACAUUUUGGGAGUGGUAUGUGUGUUUAUUUAUGACUUGUCAAAAUGGUGUUUAUCGUUAAUAAAGGUUAUUAGCUUAGCGUAAUGACUUGGAUGGCUCUAAGCUGUAGAUAGAGAUGAUAAACUUGGGCUCUUUCUGAAAAGCCAGUGGUGUCUGGUCUACACUGGACCAUCUUUUUUUUUCAAAAAAAUCUUUUCUCAUAUGAAUGUUUUCUAUAUUUAUUUUGUGUUUGGAAAAAUAUUUUUGAAAUUUGAAAGGUCUAUUGAGCAACUUUGCCAUGCUCCCCCUCGUAAGAGUUGGGGAGCCCUUGUCUCCCCUGGAUUUUGGAAGGCCCACAUCUGGGGGAGUGGAGAGGGCCAGGGCUGGAAUCACAGAUCUGGGCCCUGAGGCAGGCAGACUUUGGAAUUUUUUUCUCUCAGGUAUAUUUUUCUAUCAUUUCUAUCAGUUUGUGAAUUCUAUGAUUAUACCUUUGGAGUCUGCAAGGGUCACGGUGAGAUGCAG